GGGUGAAGAUGGGAUUGAGAGGGAAGAUGAGAGGAGAGGACGGGAGGGAGGACUAACAAAAGUGAAAACAAAAACUAAAAACUAAAAUGUAUUUGAAAUUGUUUUCACUUUUGUUACUACUCCCUCCUAUUCUCCCCUCUCAUCCUCUCUCUCAAUCUCUUACUCACUCU
rnacentral:miRNA from 1 species